rnacentral:rRNA from 1 species
UGGCGGCGUGCCUAAUACAUGCAAGUCGAACGGUCUUUCUAUGGAAGCUUGCUUCCACUGAGAAGAUAGUGGCGAACGGGUGAGUAACACGUGGGUAACCUGCCCAUAAGAGGGGGAUAACAUCCGGAAACGGGUGCUAAUACCGCAUAGUUUUCUUGAUCGCAUGAUUGGGAAAGGAAAGACGGCCUUUGUGCUGUCGCUUAUGGAUGGACCCGCGGCGUAUUAGUUAGUUGGUGAGGUAACGGCUCACCAAGACGAUGAUACGUAGCCGACCUGAGAGGGUGAUCGGCCACAUUGGGACUGAGACACGGCCCAAACUCCUACGGGAGGCAGCAGUAGGGAAUCUUCCGCAAUGGACGAAAGUCUGACGGAGCAACGCCGCGUGAGUGAAGAAAGGUUUUCGGAUCGUAAAACUCUGUUGUCAGAGAAGAACAAGUUGGAGAGUAACUGCUCCAGCCUUGACGGUAUCUGACCAGAAAGCCACGGCUAACUACGUGCCAGCAGCGGC